ensembl:lncRNA
CUGCCAGUUUCCCCAAUUGUAUUUCGGCAACCCGGGUUGCCAGUUGGUGGAAAACACAGUGUAUUUGAUUGUCAAAUGCGAUUUGUUCCUGUUUGUGUCAUCAAUCUGGCAACCUAUGUGUGCGUCAAGUCUGAGGAGGAGGGGCCAGGUGAAAAAACCCUCUCUGAUAUUUUGAAUUUGUGGGGUUUACAGCAGGGCGGUCUGAGGUUGGAGUGAUAUGUGGAGGGGUUCCUCAAGCUCUCUAACCGGGUGAGCUGGCAUGAUGCCCCUCUAGGUGCAUGCUCCCUGCUGGGGUUGGAUGAUGAGAUAAUCCGCCGUGAACUUCUGACUGGUGAUUUUCCUUUGAUCGAGCUGAUUAAUCUCGUACUGUUCUUAAAUGGUUCUGAUUUGGAGGUUGAGGAAGUAAAAAGACUUCCCAAGCCUCGUUAUCCAACCAACUCCUGAAUGCGCUGCAUCUCCCCAGCUCACCCUACGCCGAGAACCUCCACAUACCUCUCCAACGGCUCCUACUGCCUGCCUAGCCCCAAAUUCCCAGCUGUCCUCCAAAACUCCACUGGAGUACUCAGCCCAGGAGCCGGACAUUCAUGUGACACUCGCUCCAGUGACAGCUCCUCGUAAGCACUUAUCUGUUCCCCAGUUAAGUCCAGGAUGGCCUUCUAAUCCCAGAGCUCACUCCUGUGUCGGCUCCAGCCCCAGAGUUUGCUCUGGUGUCGGCUCCAGCCCCAGAGUUUGCUCCGGUGUUGGCUCCAGCCCCAGAUCUUGCUCAGGUGUCGGCUCCAGCCCAAGAACUUGCUCCGGUGUCAGCUCCAGCCCCAGAGCUCGCUCCAGUGUCGGCUCCAGCCCCAGAGCCCGCAACUCAGAGCUCAUGGAUAUGGCUUUACCCUCGGCUUUCUCCAUGCCUAUCCUCACUCCAGAGCCUCCUUCGUCUCCGCUGGUCCUGUCCCACCCUCCAUCGUCUCCUGAGCACCCUUUGUUAGCCAGCUCUGCUCGUCCAGAGUGCCCUUAAGUGCCUGCUCCACCAGAACCCACUCCUCCUGAGUGACCCCAAGGAAUCCUAGAUUCCCCCAAUUUUUGGGGGGAGGGGGGCAUAUACAUAGGAUCUGCCAUGGUCUACUGAUCCACCAUGGCUCCCGGAGCUCCCAGAUCCGCCCUGGAGGCUCUCCUUGUCUCCACUCUGUUCCAAUCCUGCACCAGCCUCCAGAGUGCCUGCCCUCCCUCCUCGAUGGUAUUGUUACGGUGUGGGGUACGCCUUCCUGGAGGGAGGAGUAAUGUUAGGGUUAUGUUUAGUUUUUGUUUUGAUUUUCAUUGUUUUCAGUUCACCUGUGACCUAGUUUUAUAUUAACUCCUAAUUGUCAUUUCGUUCACAUGUGUUUGAUUUAAUUAACUCAUUAGUUCUAUUGUUUGCUCCCCGUCAAAUACUCUCAGUUCUCCCCUUAGCCUUGGUCCGUUCUACUUUAAGUUUAUUUGUGUUUUCUUGCGGUUUUCUGACUUGUAGUUAUUAAAUCAAGUUUACUGAAAUAGCACAUUUUGCCUUCGUCUGCCUUCCUUGGAC